GAGGAUAUAGCUCAAUGGUAGAGUGCAUGCUUAGCAUGCACGAGGUCCUGAGUUCAAUACCCAGUACCUCCA
rnacentral:tRNA from 1 species